CGGUGCGCGGCGCCUUUGUGUCGCGCUUCGCCGACGCUCGCGCGCCAGCACGUGUGGUUCCUGCGCAUACGCGCCUCGGGUGGCGUCCCCGCUGACUAUUGCGGCAUGGCCCUGCUUCGCACCUGUUGCUGCUGGCUCUCUCUGCGCAGGGGAAGCUUCGCCUGCGGCAUCUACACGCUUAUUUUCUACACCAUGCUAGUUGCAACGGGUGCAUCUCACCUCAGCUCUACGUUUCACUCAACAGUGGGCUUCACGCUGAUUCUCUUGCUGCUUAUUCUGUCCAGCUUUUGCAUCGUAUUCUCCGUGGUUCUGCUCUUGGGCCUCUUUUCCGACAAUCGCCUCCUGUUGCUUCCGUGGCUCGCCUUCGUGUCCAUGACGACCGUACUGGACGUCGCGCUGUCGCUGUACUUCAUCACGGAUCUGAAAGUCGACGGUUUUGUGAUCGCCAUGUACGUUGUAGACUACACCUUGUGCUCAAUAAAUAUCUACUGCAUAAUGUGCGUGGUGUCCCAGUACCAAGUGUACUACGUCAGAGGCCACGUCACGGAGCAGAUAAGUCGGCGGGCAUCUCUGCCCGUGGUGACGACCCAGAAUAGGGACGACGGCGCCGACCAAAGCGGUGAUCGGCCCGCCUUCGGCUGCAUCAGUUCGUGGUACAUGCGGUGGCUGUCUCGCAAGACAGUUUUGUCACGUAGUGCUGACACCGUACUGCCGUGUCGCGUCAUCGUUCCCGCAGACACGUCCUUCUCGGCUGAUGUAGCUGCAGCAGCAACGGCGCUUGCCGCCACAGGCAGGGACGCUGACGAAGUAACUAGCAACGGGGGAUCAAACGUCCUAGCCCUCGAGUCUCCCUUUGCCAGAGGCCGUGACGCCGAGGAGUUGUCCACAGGCCGGCAGCUUUUCACGGAAGAGACGUCCCUAGUGCCCUACAUCGAACAGAGCGUAGUGCCACCUCCAAGUUGCGAAGGGCUGGAAGACUUGAGCGUCGAACUGGAGCUGCAGCGCGAAGCAGUGAGCGCCAUCAAAGGACUACCAGACCACGACGGUGGACGGCUGUCCGUCGGGCAUAAUGCUGGGCGUUUCUCUGCCGUUGUGCCGAGUGGAAAAGGAAGGCCGCAAAGAGCCACGAGAAUUUCGAUAAGACCGUGGAAAACCUUCUCGGGACAGCCUGAUGAUCGGGGCUAACAUCAAGGACAAAACAAGAGAUGUGCUAUGUAGCUGGGACGGCAGUUUCCUAAAAACAUCUUCCACGAGGAAAAGUUGCAGCCUACUCCAUCCUGCGCCGUUACUGAGAGAAGCCGCGGCAGAGGAUGUGCCGUGAGUGCCACCGGUGCUCUACCAGCACAACAGGUGCUGCCGUCGUGAUGACCAUACAACGGGCGCUGUACAACAUUGCUUCACCAAGUUCACAACCAAGUUCAUGCACGCGCAUGAUGUCAGUGGACAACAGGCAUCAUAUCUGCGACCAAUAAACUACAUAUUGACAAAAUCGGUAAACUGGGAAUACUCAUAUUACAAUGAAACAUCUCGAAUUUUAAAGAUAACCUGCUUGUGUCCAAAUUUUACCAUCGUGUGGCUGUGGUGAAAAGGAUGGAAAUCAUCUUCCCAACUCGCGCACCUAAGUUCUGACGCUAUCAUCAUGACACCGUCUGACGUGGUCAUCGUCAUCAUCAUCACUCCUUCAACACCACUUACGUACAUGUACGCAGAUAUUCAAAUUUACGUACACAUUUGAAAUUUGUUUCUGCGCUCUCCUACAGAUUAGAACGAGCGUCAUUGCGAUA